AUGGCCUUUGUCACUCGUUAUGGUCAAUACGAGUACACCGUGAUGUCUUUCGGCCUAACCAAUGCUCCAGCUACUUUCUCCCGCUUGAUGAACUCGAUCUUUAUGGAGUACUUAGAUAAGUUCGUCGUGGUUUAUCUCGAUGAUAUUCUUAUUUACUCGAAGAACGAGGAAGAGCAUGCCGAACAUCUUAGGCUUGUGUUAGGUAAACUCAGAGAGCACCGCCUUUAUGCCAAGUUUUUCAAGCGUGAAUUUUGGUUGCCAGAAGUGACCUAUCUGGGCCACGUGAUCUCUGGUAAGGGCAUUGCUGUCAACCCCGAGAGAGUCAAAGCCGUUCUCGAUUGGACUCCACCCGAAUCGGUCAAAUAA
rnacentral:rRNA from 1 species